AGUAUUGAUAGUGUUAAUAUUAGAAGAGUACGUGUAGCUAUUUCUUAAUGCCAAGACAACGCGUAAGAACUACUGCACGAGAAACUACUGACUACUAUUACUACUACCGAUUCUCUGUUAGCUAACUCAAUUUUUGAUCAAAGAUCCAAAUCACCAGUGUCAGGAACUAGCGGGCUACAACGAGCAAAUUCUGCCUAGCCAUUUCAUUUCACACCUAAAGAUCUUAGACCUUUACCACAAGCGGGUCUGAGGAGUGAAACAAAUAAAGGUCGUAAAAAACGUAAGACUGCAAUACUGACGGUUACGCCUGAAAAAAACUGAAUUGGACAAGAUUAUCAACAACGAAAGAAAGCCUAGAAAACGGUACUGCAAACCGAUACUGGAGAAGGUAAGAGGGAAUUGUUAUCUCCAAAAGGAAAGAGAAAAGGAAAAAAGAAAAAGAAGGUACCCAAAGACAAGGAAAAUAAAUCUGACAACGACGAUUGCUUCUGUGUCGUCUGUUCAGAAACUUUUAGCAAUAGUCGACCAAAUGACAUAAUUUUUGAACAUUUAAAAUGCCGAAGUUUGUUUGUGUUAUGAAGAAAAAAGCUUUAAAUAAAUAAUUUGUUAAUCUUA